rnacentral:lncRNA from 1 species
AAGGUCACAAAUCCAAAACCAUGCUAUUGGCAGGAGAGUACUCCUGUGCAAGCUCUAGGAGAAAAUCCAUUCUUUCCAUCUUUUCCUGUGAUUGUCAUUAUUCCUUGGAUUGUGGCUUCAUCUUACUACUCUCUCUUGUUUGACAUCUUCCCCUCUGUAUAUAUAAUCUACCUCUGCUUUUCUCUUGUAAGAUAGUUUUGAUGACCCGUUCAGAUUAUCUGUUAUAACAUUUGGAUUUUCAGAGCCUACAUUUAAUUACAACUUCACAUACCUGUCUAACAGAAUAAGGUAAUAUCACAGAAUCUUGGAAUUAGCACAUAAAUGAACAUGUCUUUGGGGGGGCAUAAUUCAGCCACUACAAUAGUCAUUGCAUAUAAAUGUACUUUAUACUUUUUAAAAUGCAUCCUUGGUGCUCAAGCCAAAUUUAAGGUUGUUAUUAAAAGCUACUGUCUACACAGGCUACUGCAUGCUUUGUUACUAAAUAGACAAAAAGACUAUUCUAAAUUUUGGUUAAUACUUUCGCCACUGUAACCAAUGAGCUGAAAAAAAUCACUGAUCACAACUCUACUCUGGUGUAUCUCUUCUGCCCCCUUUUUUUAUGAAGCCUUUGUUGAAAUAUCUUCUAUCAUGCAUAAUGUAGGCACAAAACUACCUCUGAUACAGAAGGGUUCUUUACAAACUUCCUUUAGAUAUUUUGAAUCCCUCAGCUGAAGGGAGAGGUAAAAGCAAAGACUGUGUUGAAUGGGUAUUGAGGGAGAUUGUGUCCAUAGCAAGCCACCUUAAAGAAAUAGUUCAAGUAGCAGUAAAACUGUCAAUUUGUGCUAUCAUUUCACCUUGGAAUAAACACCUGUAUUUGCGCCGGACCAAUAAUGACUUGCAGUCUCUGUAUAAUGCCUACUAAUCCAAUAAAGCUUAGAUCUGCAUU